rnacentral:rRNA from 1 species
AUUGAACGCUGGCGGCAGGCUUAACACAUGCAAGUCGAGCGGAGAUGAGGUGCUUGCACCUUAUCUUAGCGGCGGACGGGUGAGUAAUGCUUAGGAAUCUGCCUAUUAGUGGGGGACAACAUUCCGAAAGGAAUGCUAAUACCGCAUACGUCCUACGGGAGAAAGCAGGGGAUCUUCGGACCUUGCGCUAAUAGAUGAGCCUAAGUCGGAUUAGCUAGUUGGUGGGGUAAAGGCCUACCAAGGCGACGAUCUGUAGCGGGUCUGAGAGGAUGAUCCGCCCCACUAGGACUUAGACACGGCCCAGACUCCUACGGGAAGCAGCAGUGGGGAAUAUUGGACAAUGGGGGGAACCCUGAUCCAGCCAUGCCGCGUGUGUGAAGAAGGCCUUAUGGUUGUAAAGCACUUUAAGCGAGGAGGAGGCUACUGAGACUAAUACUCUUGGAUAGUGGACGUUACUCGCAGAAUAAGCACCGGCUAACUCUGUGCCAGCCGCCGCAGUAAUAC